rnacentral:rRNA from 1 species
GUCUACGACCAUACCACCUGGAAAACACCGGUUCUCGUCUGAUCACCGAAGUUAAGCCUGGUCGGGCGAAGUUAGUACUUGGAUGGGUGACCGCCUGGGAAUACUUCGUGUUGUAGACU